UCUAGUCUGAAAUCUACAAGCCACAUAAAUAUUUUACCUACAUUUUGGCUGGUGGCUGUUGCUAAUGUGGACCCCAAGCCUAUUCAAAAGACAAGACAGUACACUAACAAAUAUCAAUUUAUUAUAUUUUUAUUUCAAAUAAUUUUGAAUUCAAUUUUGGGGAUGUUCUUCCGCCUGCCGUUCCAUCCGACCCUGUGAAGAACAAAUAAAAGAGAACACGUGAGUGCAUUUAUAUUCAUUUUACAUUCAGUCAAAUGUCAUUGUACAUUUAGUCAAAACUUAAAUAUGUUAUGCCGAGGUUACGCUAGACUCGAGCGUGAGCACGUUCUAGAUAGCAGCCCAAGUGGCUAUGAAAGCUAAGCAUUGCCGGAUAAUGUCUAAUAGUAAGAAGACGGUAGACGGGGUCUGGCAUUGCGGACGUUGCGCCUAAACAACGUAAAUAUUCAUCCUGGAAACACGAAGUCAAGCCAACUCACUUUGCACUACAGCUGCAGGAAAUGCAUUUUAUAGUUCUUAUGUUAUUUAAUUUAAACUUUUUAGCGUGUAGUUGAUCAAUGUAUUAAUCCUGCAGUGUAUUUUACACCAAUACCACACCAGGAAUGGGGAUCAUUAGCGUCAUCAUGCGUUGUGUUCGUCAAAAGGCUCUAGAAUAUUUAGUUGCCGGUAGAUCUGUUCGGGAUUUAGUUGUUGAGCGAACCUUGUAUUGCAACGGAGAUUUGUUAGUGAACGUGUUAUCCCUGUGUAACAGUGUAAAUAAUUACUUUCUUUUAUUUGUUAAAUUCUGUUAAACUUGGGACUCCAACCAAUAUUUUAUAUUUUAUUCUGAAGGUCCACGGCGGAAGUUUGUGUUUGAAAGUUCAGAAGCAACCAAGCUUACGUUGUGGUAAGUCGCCGUUCUGUCCGCUUGUAAAUAAAGUUCACUUAUAAAUGCAAACCAUGUAAAGAACGAUGUUUAAAAUAUAGCAUAACAUGUAAAAUCUAAUGUUACAUGUUGUAAGGCGUUUUGUUGGUUUGUGUGUGAUGUUUGAGGAGUUCUUGAGCACGAGGUUUAUGUGACAUGUGCGCGCUAAUGCGGGCCUCCUCUUUUAUAGUUGUGUGUUGUCCCAUGUUGCAGCUAAUAAACCAGUCCAGUGCUCAACCCAACCUGUCUCCGUGGGUUCAAUUAAGAAGCAGAAGAGCUGCAGUGUACCCAAGGUCACAUCUGCUCUAUAAGGUGUCCGGCCGCCAUCCCCUAUUCACGUGGUUUUGUGUAUUGGAGAACCUGCUCAGCAAGCUGCAGUCUGCAACUUCUGCGGGAGGCAUGUUUAAUUCAAAUCCAGUACUGUUGCAUUUCAGCAAAAGCACAAGGGUGAAAGUCUUUGGUCCCCUUCAACUCCUGAGCAACAACAGCAGCAGUGGCAUCUUCCCCUUCUUUCCCCUAAGGCUGUAGCUGCUCCAAACAAAGUUUGAGGCCACAGAGCGCAACACCCUCCUCACACACUCCCCAGGAUUGGACCCCCCAACUAGGCUCAGAUGGGAAAUCUAAGGAAAUCAAACAACCAUGGU